rnacentral:rRNA from 1 species
AGAUUAAACUGAAGAGUUUGAUCCUGGCUCAGAUUGAACGCUGGCGGCAUGCCUUACACAUGCAAGUCGAACGGCAGCACGGAGCUUGCUCUGGUGGCGAGUGGCGAACGGGUGAGUAAUAUAUCGGAACGUACCCAAGAGUGGGGGAUAACGUAGCGAAAGUUACGCUAAUACCGCAUACGAUCUAAGGAUGAAAGCAGGGGAUCGCAAGGCCUUGUGCUCCUGGAGCGGCCGAUAUCUGAUUAGCUAGUUGGUGAGGUAAAGGCUCACCAAGGCAUCGAUCAGUAGCUGGUCUGAGAGGACGACCAGCCACACUGGAACUGAGACACGGUCCAGACUCCUACGGGAGGCAGCAGUGGGGAAUUUUGGACAAUGGGGGCAACCCUGAUCCAGCAAUGCCGCGUGAGUGAAGAAGGCCUUCGGGUUGUAAAGCUCUUUUGUCAGGGAAGAAACGGUGAAGGCUAAUAUCCUUUGCUAAUGACGGUACCUGAAGAAUAAGCACCGGCUAACUACGUGCCAGCAGCCGCGGUAAUACGUAGGGUGCAAGCGUUAAUCGGAAUUACUGGGCGUAAAGCGUGCGCAGGCGGUUUUGUAAGACUG